UCUUAGAAACAAUUAAUUAUAUUUUUUAAACUAAUAACAUGUCAAAAAAUUACAUUUUAUGAACUAGUUUACAUCAGAAAAUUAAAAUGUCUUAGAAACAAUUACAAUAGACACAUUCUUGAAGUAAAAUAUAUGAACAAAAACAAGAAUAUGUUAAUGAUCCAUUUUGGAAGAAUAAUUUGGUUCAUUCUAAAAUAAUAUUUUGAUGAUAAAUUUUGUAAGAAUAAGACGAUUAACCAUGCUUUCUUUUUGGAAGAUUGGUGACCUCUAUCCGACUCAUCAUCAUCUAACCUUCAGGCACUUGGUUACCGUGUUCCACUUUAGGAACCAAUUAUCUCUACUACCUUUGUGCCCUUGAUCGUAACAUUCUUUGAGAAUAACUUCCAUGAAAUCGAAUUCUGUCAGAAUGACUACCAUGAGAAUAACUACCUUUUGUCCAUUGUUUAUGGCCAAGAAAACAAAUAAAAAGCAUUCUUUGAGAAACAUCUAUGAUAAAAAAAAAUAACAAUGUAUUGCAUAGAAACGUCUAUGAUAUUAAUCCAAAGGAAAAUCUAUGAUAAUAGAUUAAAAAGUUGUCAAUUACAUUCUUAAAACAAUAAAACUAUACAUUCUUAAUGAACACUCUGAAUUCAAUGCAUUCUAAACGAAUAUUGUGUCAUUCAAAUAUUGUUGUUUCCUAAUAUCUACAAGACUUUUGUCGCAAAUAAAAACUUAUAAAUUGAGGGAUAGUAAAUUUAUGAGCCUUUUUUUGGUUUCUAACACUUCGAUCUUGAUGUAAUUACAAAGUUUAACAAGUCGAAUAAAUUUUAAAGUUGAAGGGUUUUAUUUUCCAAACUCUUUGAAGCAUGGACUAUAACAAAUGCAAGCUCAUUUUGAAAAUUAACAAAAAAAGUAUAUAUUAUGUAAAAUACAAAAAAUAAUAGAAAGUGUACAUGUAGUGCUUGUGGAUUUUAUUGUACCAUAGUUUGCAAUGCUUUGAACUGAAAUGCACAUUAGAAUUUAAAUGAUUAAUAAUUAACAAAAUUCAAUGUUGCCUAAAAAUCAAAAUCAUCUCCAAAACAAAGCAUUUGUAUGGAUUUUUAUUUUUCCCUAAAAUUUUAUAUGUCAAAGUAAGUGUUAACGAUGUAUAUUGACAACCAUCCAAAAGUUAUUGAUUCACUCAUCAAAGUUUUGUAUCAAAUUUUUACCCAGUUAAUUAUUUUAAUAACUAAACAAAAAAAUUCAAACAGAUGUCAAUUGUUCUUUAAUUCAAACAGAUGAUGAAUUUAGGGUUCCAUGAUUUUUUGAACUUUAUUUUCUUACUUUUCAUCAGGUAAGAAUCAAACUCAAGUCCUAAACCUACACAAAACAUCACGACACAACAUAAUUGAUAAAUAAAAAAUUAUUACCUAUUUUAUUUGAUGAUAUCGGCACAACAAAACUGAUAAAUCAAAAGUGGACAUCACUCUUCAGCUAACACCACAAUAAUCUGGAAUUGGGGAUUUAGGGAGGAAGAGGUGGAGGCGUCAUUGGAGAGGAUGCAUUGAUAUAGAACUGUUGUCACUGAUGGGGAGGAGUUGAUAGAAGGAAUGAGUCAUCGGAGGAAGAGUCGAUAUAGAGGUUUAAGGAACCAUCGUCGAUAAGAAAAUGGGAUGGGGAGCAGAAUACGAUGAUAUGAGAGGGUAAGGUUAUAAAGAUGAAGACAAAGGUGAUUUAAG
rnacentral:lncRNA from 1 species